rnacentral:rRNA from 1 species
CCUACGGGAGGCAGCAGUGGGGAAUUUUGGACAAUGGGCGCAAGCCUGAUCCAGCAAUGCCGCGUGAGUGAAGAAGGCCUUCGGGUUGUAAAGCUCUUUUGUCAGGGAAGAAACGGUUCGGGUUAAUACCUUGGGCUAAUGACGGUACCUGAAGAAUAAGCACCGGCUAACUACGUGCCAGCAGCCGCGGUAAUACGUAGGGUGCAAGCGUUAAUCGGAAUUACUGGGCGUAAAGCGUGCGCAGGCGGUUGUGCAAGACAGAUGUGAAAUCCCCGGGCUCAACCUGGGAAUUGCAUUUGUGACUGUACGGCUAGAGUGUGUCAGAGGGGGGUAGAAUUCCACGUGUAGCAGUGAAAUGCGUAGAGAUGUGGAGGAAUACCGAUGGCGAAGGCAGCCCCCUGGGAUAACACUGACGCUCAUGCACGAAAGCGUGGGGAGCAAACAGGAUUAGAUACCCUGGUAGUCCACGCCCUAAACGAUGUCUACUAGUUGUCGGGUCUUUAUUGACUUGGUAACGCAGCUAACGCGUGAAGUAGACCGCCUGGGGAUACGGUCGCAAGNUUAAAACNCAAAGGAAUUGACGGCNGAGAGNGCGACGACGACGACGAGGAGGAGG